rnacentral:tRNA from 1 species
ACCCACUUAACUCAGUGGUUAGAGUAUCGCUUUCAUACGGCGAGAGUCAUUGGUUCGAAUCCAAUAGUAGGUA